GACCCGGUAGCUGAGUUGGUAAAGCGCUUGUCUAGAUUAUACGGGUCGUGAGUUCAAAUCUCACCUGAACUG
rnacentral:tRNA from 1 species